GACUACAUGAAGCUGGAAUCGCUAGUAAUCGCGAAUCAGAAUGUCGCGGUGAAUACGUUCCCGGGUCUUGUACACACCGCCCGUCACACCAUGGGAGUCGGAAAUGCCCGAAGUCAGUGAGCUAACUUAAAGAGGCAGCAGUCGAAGGUAGAGCCAAUGAUUGGGUGAAGUCGUAACAAGGUAUC
rnacentral:rRNA from 1 species